UGAUGACGAUGAUGACGAUGAUGACGAUGAUGACGACGAUGAGGAAGAAGAAGAAGCGUCGUUACCUGCGAUAACGACGUCAUCAUCAUCAUCAUCAUCAUCAUCAUCGUCGUCAUCA
rnacentral:pre_miRNA from 1 species